CAGGCCACGUACUCUCAGGUUGAUGAAGAAAAGGUGGACCUGACACCCAUGUUAGAUUUUUGAGGAAUGCAUCCACUUUCAAGCCUCUCGAGGCCACAUCUGCUGGAUUACUUGCAGUGUCUACGUACCUCCAUUGAGAAGACAGUGAAACUUUGAGAAUCUCCGAGACCCUGUUGGCAACAAAAACUUUGAACCUGGAAGUCUCAUUCUUGAUAUAUUUGAGUACAGAUGCACUGUCUGUCCAAAACACGGAAUCCUGUAGAUCCAAAUGUAGCUCUUUCCUCCACAGGACAUCAAUACGGCUCGCCAUAGUGGCAGCGAUUAGCUCCAUACGAGGGAUGGUAACAGACUUAAGUGGAGCCACCCUUGCCUUUCCCAUGACAAAAGCACUGUGUACCUGAGAGUCUUUGUUACGUGACAGCAGGUAAGUCACUACCCCGUAGCCAUCUUCACUUGCAUCACAGAAAUGGUGCAGCUGUGCUGUGGUCGUCUCUCCAAAGUUUAGUGGUUUCAGGCAUCUCAUGACGUUAAAACCCUCUAGACGGCACAGUUCCUGUAGCCACGUCGUCCAUUCUUUGACAACUGGUACAGGUAUGAUGUCAUCCCAGCCAAGUGAUCUCCUGCACAGAUCUCUCAAGAUUUUCUUAGCCAAUAAUACUACAGGGCUCAGGAUUCCAAGAGGGUCAUAGAUGGAGCUGACAGUUGAGAGAAUUCCCCUCCUGCACUCUCUCCACUGGUAGCUGAUCCUGAUCCAGGUCCAAGUCUGUCAUGUCUGUUGCUCGGUGGCUUUCAGAUGGAGACAAGGUCAUGAUGGAGAGAUACAGCUUCCUCCUCUGAAGUCACCGACACCAGACAAUCAUCAACGUAGAAGCAAUGUAGGACUUUAUCAAUCACUUCUUGGCUGAAUUGUUCCUUAUUAUCUUCUGCACAUUUCCUGAGAGCAAAAUUGGCGCAGCUGGGAGACGAAGUUGCCCCGAAGAGAUGCACCAUCAUCCUGAAGUCACUGGGUUCUUGAUUUAAAUCCCCAUCAGGCCACCAGAGAAACCUCAACAAAUCUGCGUCUUCAGCUGGUACCCUUACCUGGUGAAACAUGGACUCAAUAUCUGCCAUGAUCACCACUGGUUCUUUCCGGAACCUGGUCACCACUCCAAUCAAUGAACUGGUCAGGUCCGGUCCUUGCAGGAGCUCAGCAUUAAGAGAUGUUCCUUGGAAACUCGCUCCACAGUCGAAAACGACUCUGAUUUUCCUCUUCUUUGGAUGAUAGACACCAUGAUGGGGGAUAUACCAAACCUUGCCAUCACAGCGGUCCAACUCCUCUUCAGGCACCUCUUCGGCAUAACCUUUGGCAACCAGAUCAUUCAUGAAGGCUGUAUAUUCUGCGUGGAAUGACGAGUCCUUCAGAAGCCUCCUCUUCAGGUAUUUUGCGCGUUGCUCAACAAUUAUUCUAUUAUUUGGCAUGUUGAGUUCCUCAUUCCUUAAUGGUAAUCUGAUCUGGUAAUGACCAUUCACUUGCUUUGCUGAGUUUCUAACCAAAUCCAUAAACUUCUGAUCCUCUCUUGACAUUCCAGGUUGCUCAUCCAUACUACAUUCAGGGAAAUCCACUUUGAACUGCUGCUGCCAAAGUUCAUCCAAAUUCACAACUGACACUCGGUUCACAGAUAACUCUGGAUGCUCACAAUCCAUCGCUUCCUCACUUUCUCCAUUUAGAGGUCCAUUCACAGUCCAGCCCAGCAUUGUCCUAAUUGCAUAGGGCCCACCAUUGACGCUAUGAAUAACUUGCAAUGGUUCCAAAGCCUUGGGAACAUUUGUCCCAAUCAGCAGCUCAAUCCCUGCCUCCACCUCAGGCAACUGGACAUGUUUCAAAUGUGGCCAUCUCUGAAGAUCCCUCUGUCUUGGAAUGUUCCCACUGUGGACGGGCAUAUACUCCUGUGUGAAAGU